rnacentral:lncRNA from 1 species
UUUUAUUUAUAGUGAGAUAGUAAUUUACGCGUUGACAUUAGGUCUUCCUCCAUAUCUGAUAAAUUUAUUAUGAACUCACUGGAUAUAGUUACUAGUUAUUGAUAACAUAUGUUAGCUCUCCAUCUGAGUUUAAGGGUUAAAUCAAUUUUGUUACUAGUUAUUGAUAACCUAUGUUAGCUCUCCAUCUGAGUUUAAAGGUUAAAUCAAUUUUGUAACUAAAAUACAAUCAUGAUUAAAUGGUGAUAGAAUUAUAUUUCUAUGGUCUUUCACUAUUAAUUUCAAAUGAGUAAUAAAUUU